GGCUCAGGAUGAACGCUAGCUACAGGCUUAACACAUGCAAGUCGAGGGGCAUCAGGAAGAAAGCUUGCUUUCUUUGCUGGCGACCGGCGCACGGGUGAGUAACACGUAUCCAACCUGCCCUUUACUCGGGGAUAGCCUUUCGAAAGAAAGAUUAAUACCCGAUAGCAUAAUGAUUCCGCAUGGUUUCAUUAUUAAAGGAUUCCGGUAAAGGAUGGGGAUGCGUUCCAUUAGGUUGUUGGUGAGGUAACGGCCCACCAAGCCUUCGAUGGAUAGGGGUUCUGAGAGGAAGGUCCCCCACAUUGGAACUGAGACACGGUCCAAACUCCUACGGGAGGCAGCAGUGAGGAAUAUUGGUCAAUGGGCGCUAGCCUGAACCAGCCAAGUAGCGUGAAGGAUGAAGGCUCUAUGGGUCGUAAACUUCUUUUAUAUAAGAAUAAAGUGCAGUAUGUAUACUGUUUUGUAUGUAUUAUAUGAAUAAGGAUCGGCUAACUCCGUGCCAGCAGCCGCGGUAAUACGGAGGAUCCGAGCGUUAUCCGGAUUUAUUGGGUUUAAAGGGAGCGUAGGUGGACUGGUAAGUCAGUUGUGAAAGUUUGCGGCUCAACCGUAAAAUUGCAGUUGAUACUGUCAGUCUUGAGUACAGUAGAGGUGGGCGGAAUUCGUGGUGUAGCGGUGAAAUGCUUAGAUAUCACGAGGAACUCCGAUUGCGAAGGCAGCUCACUGGACUGCAACUGACACUGAUGCUCGAAAGUGUGGGUAUCAAACAGGAUUAGAUACCCUGGUAGUCCACACAGUAAACGAUGAAUACUCGCUGUUUGCGAUAUACAGUAAGCGGCCAAGCGAAAGCAUUAAGUAUUCCACCUGGGGAGUACGCCGGCAACGGUGAAACUCAAAGGAAUUGACGGGGGCCCGCACAAGCGGAGGAACAUGUGGUUUAAUUCGAUGAUACGCGAGGAACCUUACCCGGGCUUAAAUUGCAGUGGAAUGAUGUGGAAACAUGUCAGUGAGCAAUCACCGCUGUGAAGGUGCUGCAUGGUUGUCGUCAGCUCGUGCCGUGAGGUGUCGGCUUAAGUGCCAUAACGAGCGCAACCCUUAUCUUUAGUUACUAACAGGUUAUGCUGAGGACUCUAGAGAGACUGCCGUCGUAAGAUGUGAGGAAGGUGGGGAUGACGUCAAAUCAGCACGGCCCUUACGUCCGGGGCUACACACGUGUUACAAUGGGGGGUACAGAAGGCAGCUAGCGGGUGACCGUAUGCUAAUCCCAAAAUCCUCUCUCAGUUCGGAUCGAAGUCUGCAACCCGACUUCGUGAAGCUGGAUUCGCUAGUAAUCGCGCAUCAGCCACGGCGCGGUGAAUACGUUCCCGGGCCUUGUACACACCGCCCGUCAAGCCAUGGGAGCCGGGGGUACAUGAAGUACGUAACCGCAAGGAUCGUCCUAGGGUA
rnacentral:rRNA from 1 species